rnacentral:lncRNA from 1 species
GUGAAUUUCUGUGGUUUAAGCAAGUCAGUCUGUGGCACUUUGUUCUGGCAGCCUUAGCAAACUAGUACUGUCUCUGGUGCUCUAGUUUCAGACACCAUCUUAGCCUGGAGGAGGAGCUGUGAUUGGACACGGGGCCUUUCCAGAUCUGUUCCCGUCACACCCAGAGCACAGCCUGGUUUGGCAGAGACUCAACCAGCCCCGGGCCUAGGACGUCUCUCGCUCGUGCACCAUUUUGUUUCUUUCUUCAGGGUGUCAUUCAAGUCCUUCUGCUCAGGAAUGAGUCUCACGACAGACAACGUGUUGGGGAUGCUCCAGACUCGCCCAGAUGCCUUCGUUUCGGGGCGCUGUGGGAUGUGCUGAGAAGAAAGCCUGGAGGAGAGUGGGAAACUACAGAAGGAUUUAAGCCGGCUGAUGACUACCUGGUCACCCCGAUGGUUGGGCGGAUGAUGAAUUAACUGUCGAGCAGGACUUGGAAGGCCGCUGUCGUGGUAACUCAGAUACCCAAUUGAUAGCAAGCUUGGCCAUAGGACUCGCUUUAGCCAAUGAAACGUGAAGACGAGUGAUGCGCAUCUCUUCUGAGCCGAAGCUUCAAGAGCCGGCUCGUGGCCGCCACGUCUCUUCUCCCUUCGCCAGAGACCGGCAGUGUUUCGGAGGCUGCCCCAUGAGCGAAGAGCCUGGGUCCAUGAAAGAAGACGUGGAGCAGAGCCCAGCCUGCCCACGUCGGCCACGGGGCAAAGUUGAUGGCGUCCUUCUAAUAGAAUGUGACUUCCAUGCUGCAAGAAUCUGGGCUGAGUUGUUAGUCAUUCUACCCUGAAGCCAAGCCCGGGGCCCGACUAUCUGUGAGAAGAACGAAUGAAGGAAACUUAUGGAUCCGUCCUGUUCAUCAUGAUCUCUUCCAUUAGCAGAGGGUGCCUCUCAGAAGUCUGUAAACCGAGUUCCUUGAAUCUGUUCUAUCGUGUCACCUCUGAAUCUUUGCACGUGCAAUCCAUUUUACUCAGAAGAAAACGCUUCGUCACCGCCUCCUUUUUUCCGCUUAAUGGUAAAAUUCAGGCUCUAUAGUAGUCCACGAAGAGAGCGCUUUGCAGGAACGUGAUGACCCCCAAACAGAGAGUCUAUGCUCACAGCCAUCAUCAAGGACAAUGGAGAGAUCUGGUGUGGCAGCUCCCAGUCUUAACUCCAGAGGGUCAACAUUCCUA